rnacentral:rRNA from 1 species
ACCUCAAAUCAGGUAGGAACACCCGCUGAACUUAAGCAUAUCAAUAAGCGGAGGAAAAGAAAAUAACAAUGAUUCCCCUAGUAACUGCGAGUGAAGAGGGACAAGCUCAAAUUUUAAAUCUAUCGGAUUUUACCCGAUCGAGUUGUAAUUUGAAGAAGCGUUUUCUGCGUUUUUGAUCAGCCCAAGUCCUAUUGAAUGAGGCAUCAUGGAGGGUGAUAAUCCCGUCCGGUUGAUCAUUUGCGUUUUACGAUACGCUCUCUAAGAGUCAAGUUGUUUGGGAUUGCAGCUUAAAAUGGGAGGUAAAUUUCUCCUAAGGCUAAAUAACGGCGAGAGACCGAUAGCGAACAAGUACCGUGAGGGAAAGAUGAAAAGAACUUUGAAAAGAGAGUUAAACAGUACGUGAAAUUGUUGAAAGGGAAACGAUUGAAGCCAGUCGUACCUUCGGGUAAUCAGCCUUUCGGGUGCGAUUCUGUGGAGUGUGAGGAGCUUAACACCUUCAUGCUUUGCAUAUUUGUGCUCUUGGGUGUACUUGCUCGUGUGGUUGGUUAACAUCAAUUUUGAUUAUCAUAAAAUGAUUGGAGGAAUGUAGCUUCGAUCUCGUAUUGAAGUGUUAUAGCCUUCGGUAGAUGUGAUGAUCGAGAUUGAGGAUUGCAACGGAUACCCUUCGGGGCUACCUGUCUGGUCUCUGAUCGUUGCUCUGGUGCCGAAAGCGUGCUUACGGUUAUCAAAGUCGAUGGUCAAUAGGUUAGAACGGGUUAAAUUCGUUAAGGAUGUUGACGUAAUGGCUUUAAACGACCCGUCUUGAAACACGGACCA